rnacentral:rRNA from 1 species
UGGGGAAUAUUGCACAAUGGGCGCAAGCCUGAUGCAGCCAUGCCGCGUGUGUGAAGAAGGCCUUCGGGUUGUAAAGCACUUUCAGCGGGGAGGAAGGCGAUAAGGUUAAUAACCUCAUCGAUUGACGUUACCCGCAGAAGAAGCACCGGCUAACUCCGUGCCAGCAGCCGCGGUAAUACGGAGGGUGCAAGCGUUAAUCGGAAUUACUGGGCGUAAAGCGCACGCAGGCGGUCUGUCAAGUCGGAUGUGAAAUCCCCGGGCUCAACCUGGGAACUGCAUGCGAAACUGGCAGGCUAGAGUCUUGUAGAGGGGGGUAGAAUUCCAGGUGUAGCGGUGAAGUGCAUAGAGAUCUGGAGGAAUACCGGUGGCGAAGGCAGCCCCCUGGACAAAGACUGACGCUCAGGUGCGAAAGCGUGGGGAGCAAACAGG